rnacentral:lncRNA from 1 species
CCCGGCGCGGCCCCGCAGCUGCGCAGGUGGAGCCCACGGGCACCAUCGCCUCCGCCGUCGCCACCAGCCCCGACCCGCACGGGGGCCGCGGGGCGCUACCCUCGGCCGGAGGGAGCCCGUCCGACCUCCUCUUCCUCGCCGGCGGCGGUCGUCCCUGCCUCUGAGACGCCGCUCCUCCCUGCCCCUCCCUCUCUCUCGACCCCUUCUUCUUCUUCUCGUAAAGUAGCAACCGCCGCCGCCGUCUGCUGACCCCCCGACCCCGACAAGCACCCGAGAGAUUAGCACCCGCCCGAGAGCAACCAUGGAGAUGAAGCUCACCAUCAGGAGGGUGCCCACCGUCGUCUCCAACUACCAGGAGGACGCCGACAAGCCGCGCGCCGGAUGCGGCAGGAACUGCCUCGGCGACUGCUGCCUCCCUGGUGAGCCCACCUACCCGCCCACCCUUUCCUUUCCAUUCGUUUAUGGUUAAUCCCACGUCGUUUUCGCCCCAAAUCUGGAUGAAAUUUUUUUAAAGCUUCUCUUUGAUUAAGAUCCUGCCAUUUUAAAAAUUUUGCCACGGCGAUUUGUGCCUGAUUCGGGAACUUUGUACAGUAAACUAGUAAAGGCCUCCCCUUGCGUUCCACAAACUUCGGGGCCUUUUCAGCUAAACAGUCACAGCAGGGUGCUCUUUCUUUUUUUAACUGUGCUAUUUUUAACUCACCCUAUGGUUAAAAAUUGUAACGGCCGCUGGUUUCGGGUUGAACAACUGGCAGUUUCGCCGCCUCCAGUUAUGUUGGAUUAAAUAAGGGUAUAAACUAGCAUCUUGGGCACUAGAUACUUACAAUUUUUCUGAAAAAAAAAUCUCAGCUGGAAACCCAUGUCAUCAUACCGCAAGCAAAACAGAGGGCCUUUUGUAUUUAUGUGAAUUUUGUAUGGCAGUGAUUGUUUACUAUACACCUUUUGCUUAUGUGCUUGAUUUUUUUAAUAGUUUCCUGGAAAAAAAUAUUUUUUAACUCACUAAUACAUCAACCCUGCACGAACAAAAAUAUUGUACAAUUUGCUUCACUUGACAUGAAAGUAGCAAAUUAAGCUACACUUCUGUGGAAUUAACAUUUGCAUGCCUUUCUAUGUGUAGUUUCAAAGCUCCCCCUCUAUGCUUUCAAGGCAAAUCCGGCAAAGCCUUCACAGGAGGAUGCUUCUUCAACUAAGUCCCUUGUCAAUAUCCUCCUUACUGAGGUAAAUAAAAGCUUGUGGUUUUGGUUGCACGGCAUUACGAACUUUAACUGUGCUAGUUUUGGAUGAGAUGUACUAGGAGUCAUUUUAUUCCACAUGCAGUAAGAUAUUGAAAAAUCUCUUAAAUAGUUAACGAAAUAUAUUUGGCAAUAAUCCUCUCUUGUCGUGUGUACAUGUAAGUGCACUCAAGCAGUAGCAAAUGCAUGCAUGUAAGACUUGUAAGAUGAUUGAGUUACUGCAACAACGGUGUUGUCGUCGUAUAUGGUUCAUUCCUGUAAGUACGUGAAUUGAGAUAUCAAUUUGGUUGUUUCCAUGCAAUUUUAAAUACUGGAUAGAGAUCAUUUACCUACUAUGGCGCUAGAACUAGUCGAAUAUGCACAUGUGAAUCUAAAUGUCUAUCACUGCUUCAAAUAAUAUAGGCAGUUUUACUUGGGUUUUGUAAGACGCCUAAACAAGUUAUAGAUGGUUUACCAUGAAAGUUCGCUGAAAUGGAUGAAUAGUGAAGUCUAGUUCCAUAUUCUAUUCCUAGAUUUGAAUUCUGAGUUCAAUAUUUUGCUUUUUAUCCUGACAGUGGGAGGACAGGAUGGCUCGAGGCUUAUUCCGCUAUGAUGUCACUGCCUGUGAAACCAAGGUCAUCCCUGGCAACCUUGGGUUCGUUGCACAACUGAAUGAAGGCCGCCACCUUAAGAAGCGCCCUA